rnacentral:rRNA from 1 species
GACAGAGGGUGCAAACGUUGUUCGGAAUUACUGGGCGUAAAGCGCGUGUAGGCGGCUCGGAAAGUCGGGUGUGAAAGCCCUGGGCUUAACCCAGGAAGUGCACUCGAAACUUCCGAGCUGGAGUCCUGGAGAGGAAGGCGGAAUUCUCGGUGUAGAGGUGAAAUUCGUAGAUAUCGAGAGGAACACCGGUGGCGAAGGCG